CAGGCUCAGGAGGAAGGGGCUUCAUCACCAUCUUCCCCAGAGCAAGGGAGAGCAUGGGACACUGUGAGGCUGGCAGACACACUGUUUCCCAGGCAAGACCCUCCCCAGGCCUGGCAGAGCAGUAGGCUCAAGGCAGGUCACCACAGCAUUCAUCUCAACUCCCCAUGCACCUCCACCAGGAGACCAGUCCCCUCCAGUGCUUUUUGUAGCAGCAUUUCCUUGCGUUGCAGACCUCCCACUGAGGACCCAUCUUCACAAAAGGUGAUCUUCUCGAUGUCCACCGAGCCCUUCUUACUGCCGCGGCGCUGCAACAGACAGGGUUGGUUCAAAGCACCACCCAAGGCGGAGACCCGAGGAGACUCGAGCCGACCACCGUCCCCAUCCAGCCACCCCUUGGGCUGGCAGGAACAGGCGCUUCUUGAAGUUGAGGGGAGAUGUUUUCUUCUUCUGCUGAGAGCGCUUCAGGAAGAUGCUUUCCAGGAUGAUGCUGGCCAUGUUGGUCCUCCCGGCCCCCUCCGCCCCACACUCGCCGGGUUGCUGUGAGCAGGACAACACUGGCACUGCACCGGCUCAGCUGAAAACCUGCCCACCCCUGGACCUUGUUCAGGUGAGCUCUGUCUCCUGCCUGAGGGGCAUCCAGAGGGAGCUGGAAGCGCCGUGGGUGGGGAGGAAUCAGCUGUAGAGGUGCAUGGGCAGGUCAGUGCAGGGUAUUUGCCACACGACCUCUCCUGUCCCCGCUCCGACGACAGCCCGUGGACCAAGUGACCACCCUGCCAGCAUCAGCUCCCAACGGGUGCUGGAGAGACUCCCCGGAUGUGUGGGCAGAUAGAUGGACACACACCACAGACAGAUAGAUGGACACAUACCACAGGCGGCCAGAGAGGGAGGAAGCCGAGGAAGCUGUGAGAAGUGUAGCCCCGGGGAGGAGCACAGAGCCUGAGCAGCAACACCCAGCAGGCUCCCUCCUCCCCUCCAACACUGCUGUGUGUUUGUGUGGGCCAUUUCCUCCUGCCACACCGCAGAGGCUUUGUGCCAGGGGCAGGUUGACUCGGCGGCAUGCAGGGGACAGUUGUGGGAGGCCAGUCCCUACAAAUCUGUUAGUAGGUCCUGACCCUGCAGCGCUGUGCUGCUGAGCAUGGAGUAGCCCUAAGGUCAUCCCUUCCCUCUGCCUGUAGCAGUGAGGGAAAGGUGCUCAAUGCCCUUUCCUGCCCUGCGAGCAGCCUGGCUGGAGGCCAGGCUCAUAGGGCUGCCUCCAGGCAGCAGCUAGAGGGGUUAAGCCCUUCUCAGUGAAACACUCCUGAUGAGCUUUUCCAGGGAUGGUCUAUCUGGAAAGGACAGAGGUGAGAGCCUCAUAUCCCACUGCUGCCCUGCCAUCAGAGCUCAUCUGCCCUGGCCUAUUUAUUGAAGCAGCUUGGCUAUCUUAGGCAGCACCCAGGCACUUGUGCCACCCAGACAGUUUCAGCAACCCACAGGGCCAUGUGGCUGCAGCUGUAGGCACCUCCUCCUGUGAGGGCUUUAACCAACACUUGUCUCCAGUCUGGACUUAUCAGGGAGCUAAUGAGCUAUGUGGGGCCA